GUGACUGUGAGAUUGUGAAGAAAUGAAAUCAGGGAUUUCGUCUUCUUCAGUUGAAGCUUUGAGGAACGGAGGAGAAGGAAUCGCCUCCGCCCUAUCUUCUUCCGAUCACUCUCGCUUGUUGCUUGCCAAUAGACCUCCCAGGACACCAUGGAGUCAACUAGCAAUUUUAAGAAAGUGGAAACAGAAUUAGGAGAAACUAUAGGCCCGUUCGGCAAGUAGUGUCAAUAUGGACUUGUUCAAAGCUAUGUGCUAUUUGCUUUGUCGCCGGGGUGGUUGUUGGUUACUCGUUAAAGCGAUGUGUUAAUCGAUGGGUUUCCAAGCUAUUGAGGAGAUUGAAAGAUUGAUAUUCCCAUCCAUGCC